UAAACCUUAACAAAAAUAGAACAACCAUCAUUCUGAGGUAUAAUUUACCUGCAUUAAGGAGGUAAUAUGUAUCAUGCCUUGCUUUAAGUAAACUUUCUGGAUGUAUGGAGAUUAGAUCCAGCAGCAAUUAAACCAUUGCCUCUGGAACACUGCACAUCUUCAGGUGUGUUACAAAGGCUACUGUGGUGAAGAAGCAAACUGUAACAUGAAUGCCAGGACUGUCUGCAGCACCAUCUCUUGCUAGCAAUGUGGCAAGAGCUUCACAAAUAGAAGUGUGAUUCUUUGAGCCCUUACAACAUCCAAAUAUAGAAUAUGAACGUGGCACUCUACAGGCCUCAGAUGCUGCAGGACAAUCAGACCUGGAUGCAGUUGUGAUGCAAAUGGGAGUAGAGUGCAAGAAGAAAACAGUUCAUCAAAUGGACCAGGACCACGGUGAUGGGGUGAUGGGCUCAUCUACUAUAAAUCUACAUCUGGUCAUGUGGGAAGAAUUAAGUUGUACUCCUGUAAAAAGUUCUAUUGAAUUGUAAAUAAAUUAA